UCUGGGAUAGCUCAGUUGGUUGAGCAUGAGACUCUUAAUCUCAGGGUCGUGGAUGUGAGCCCCACAUUGAGCAAAA